rnacentral:tRNA from 1 species
GUCGACAUGUCUGGGUGGUGAAGGACAGACUCAAAAUCUAUUGGGCUUUGCCUGUGUAGGUUCGAAUCCUGUUGUUGACG